rnacentral:rRNA from 1 species
GACGAACGCUGGCGGCGUGCUUAACACAUGCAAGUCGAACGGAAAGACCCUGCUUUUGUGGGGUGCUCGAGUGGCGAACGGGUGAGUAACACGUGAGUAACCUGCCCUUGACUUUGGGAUAACUUCAGGAAACUGGGGCUAAUACCGGAUAGAAGCUCCUGCUGCGUGGUGUGGGUUGGAAAGUUUCGGCGGUGGGGGAUGGACUCGCGGCUUAUCAGCUUGUUGGUGGGGUAGGGGCUUACCAAGGCUUUGACGGGUAGCCGGCCUGAGAGGGUGAACGGCCACAUUGGGACUGAGAGACGGCCCAGACUACGACGGGAGGCAGCAGUGGGGAAUAUUGCACAAUGGGCGGAAGCCUGAUGCAGCAACGCCGCGGGCGGGAAGACGGCCUUCGGGUGGUAAACCGAUUUCGCCUGUGACGAAGCGUGAGUGACGGUAAUGGGUAAAGAAGCACCGGCUAAAUACGUG